CAACCCAAACCGCCCGCUACUACGUUACGUUGGCAGCGCGAAAAACCAAAAAAACGUCCACCACCUCCGUGCGCAUGCACCGGCGCCACCGAGCCGGCCCGCCUCAGCCGCACACCUCACUGGCGGGGAGCCGGGGAUCAUGGGGGCAGCAGCGGACGACGCUGCGUCAGUGCGGGCCGCGGUGAUGCGGCUCAGCUUCGGCGCGGCGGCGGAGGAGAGGCGGGACGCCGCGGGGGAGGUCGCGAGGCUGGCGCGCGCGGACGAGCGGACCAAGCGCCUCCUGCCCGAGCUCGGCGUCCUGCCCCCGCUCCUGGACAUGCUGGGCGGCGCGGGACCGGGGGCGCGCCUGGCCGCGGCGGGGGCGCUGCUGGAGCUCGCCCGAGGGACGCACAGGUUCGUCGAAAUAAGGUGCGCAUCGUGCAGGCCGGCCUGCUCAAGAAGUUGCCGGUGGUCGCGGACGACAGGGACGUGUGCAGAAGCCAGGAGCUGGCGCUGCUGCUCCUGUCCAUCUCGUCGCUAGCCAACACCGACUUCCCGCUCCGCACCACCGAGCUCCUCCCGUUCCUCGUGGCCACGCUGGGAGCCACCGACGUCCCGCCCGACGCGAAGCUGCCGUGCCUGGCCGCGCUCCGCAACCUGUCGGCGAAGCUGGAGCACGCGCGCGACGUGGCGUCCAGCGGGGCCGUGCGCGCGCUCCUGCCGCUCUCGCUGGAGCCCAAGACGUCGGAGCCGGCGCUGGCCGUCCUCGGGGAGCUGGCGGCGGCGGCGGGGCGGGAGGCGAUGGAGGCGGAGGGCGAGGCGGUGCCGCGGGCGCUCCUGGAGGCCAUGACGCGGCACGGGAGCGCGCGGUGCCAGGAGCGCGCCACGUACCUGGCCAUGGUGCUCGCGCACGGCAGCCGCGCGCUGCGGCGCGCCAUGCGCCGGCUCGGCGUCGUGCAGGCGCUCCUGGAGGUCUCGCUACUCAGCAGCAGCCCACUCGCGCAGCGGAGGGCGGCCAUCAUCCUGCGCUGGUUCAAGGAGGAUGGGCCGCAGAGCAGGACGACCAGGGCGCAUUCGGGGCCUCGCGUGGAGGGAGUGGCAGAGGCCACGUCGUGCCGCGACGACGACGUAGCCGGCGAGGCGAAGGGUUGCCGGGAUACCACCGUGGACGAGAUUGUGAGGCGGAGCCUGGAUAGGAACAUGAAGUCUAUACUGAGGAGGGCCACGGCGUCCGUGGACCUGACCAAUGUUAAACUGCUCGUUACGAGCUCCAGCUCUAAGAGCUUGCCUUGCUGAACUCACAAGUCACAAUGACACAAGUGCUCAGUUUUCCCUGGA